rnacentral:rRNA from 1 species
AACGAACGCUGGCGGCAUGCCUAACACAUGCAAGUCGAACGAGACCUUCGGGUCUAGUGGCGCACGGGUGCGUAACGCGUGGGAACCUGCCCUUAGGUUCGGAAUAACUCCCCGAAAGGGGUGCUAAUACCGGAUAAUGUCUUCGGACCAAAGAUUUAUCGCCUUUGGAUGGGCCCGCGUUGGAUUAGCUAGUUGGUAGGGUAAAAGCCUACCAAGGCGACGAUCCAUAGCUGGUCUGAGAGGAUGAUCAGCCACACUGGGACUGAGACACGGCGCAGACUCCUACAGGAGGCAGCAGUGGGGAAUAUUGGACAAUGGGCGAGAGCCUGAUCCAGCAAUGCCGCGUGAGUGAUGAAGGCCUUAGGGUUGUAAAGCUCUUUUACCCGGGAUGAUAAUGACAGUACCGGGAGAAUAAGCUCCGGCUAACUCCGUG